AAUCAACGCUGGCGGCGUGCCUCAGACAUGCAAGUCGAACGAGAAAGUUCCCUUCGGGGAAUGAGUAAAGUGGCGCACGGGUGAGUAACACGUAGGUAAUCUACCUUCGGGUGGGGAAUAACCCAGGGAAACUUGGGCUAACACCGCAUAAUGCAGCGGCACCACAUGGUGACAGUUGUUAAAGCGGGGGAUUUUAGGACCUCGCGCCUGAAGAGGAGCCUGCGGCGGAUUAGCAGUUGGUAGGGUAACGGCUUACCAAGGCGACGAUCCGUAACCGGCCUGAGAGGGCGGUCGGUCACACUGACACUGACAUACGGGUCAGACUCCUACGGGAGGCAGCAGUCGGGAAUUUUGGGCAAUGGGCGAAAGCCUGACCCAGCAACGCCGCGUGAAGGAUGAAAUCCCUCGGGAUGUAAACUUCGCAAGA
rnacentral:rRNA from 1 species